CUACAAUUGCUGCAUUUCAAGUACAAAUGUAGCAAUAAUCCAUAUUAUAAAAAUAUAUUUGAUUAAAUAAAUGCAAAAUCGUAAUCAUUGUAAUUCGGAAUUUUUAAUUUCGUUCGGCGGUUUCUGUCGUAGCGUACCAGACGACAAGUUCGACAAUCGCAAUGAAUAGAUUGAAUGAAUGACGGUGCAGUGAUUGACGGAACUAUGUUCAUUAUCGAUACGUAGACAUAUUCAACACAACUGAUGUACCACUAUGGGAUUGUAUUAGAAAUCGGAUGUUCAUGUUUGUGUGACUUUACCAGUGUUCAGAGGUCAAAUUAAGUUUAUUUCCAUAGUGAUGAUGAAGAAAUAGCAAUAAACAGAGAAUGCCUAAGUUCUACCCCUGCUUGCUGUGCUCCAAAAGAACAUCACAACAGGACAGAUACAGGAUAAAGAAGGAGCAUGCAGACUUCAUCAAGAGAAGACUCCGUAUGGAUGUUUCUGAUGACAGCAUGCUGUGUAGGAAAUGUCGUCACAUGUGUGAAACAAAAUCGACAAGAGAUUCUAUUUGCAACAGCCCUGAGCCAAACAAAAUACAGAAAACAUUAUCAAAGCAGAGUAUGAAGAGCCCUCCUUCAGUAACACUGUCCAUCCCAAGUACUUCUACAAGUCAUGCCAACUGUGUAAUAUGUAAAAAGCCAGGGCCAAAGCUUGUUGUUGUUCCUGAAAACACUCGUGUAAAUGUAUUCAUCCAAAAAGAAACAUUUGUUCCACCUGGUUCUAGAUGCUGUCCUUAACAUAUAUCUGAUGGAGAUCUCAACACUGAGGCAUUGCAUCUGUUGAAACAAACAAGUUCUGUCUCCAAUGUCAACAGGACCACCAUUGUUGGAGUUUUAAAACAAACCAGGGAUGUAGCAAUCCAAAAUCAGAACAAGAGACUGAAUUUUGAUGAUCCACAUGGAAUGCAAAAUGAAGAUUACUACAAUCUAACAGGUGUUACAAAGGAUCAGUUUGAUGAAUUGAUGACGUAUUUGGUGGAGACCAACUUAAGAUCAUCCAAGAACAGAAGUACUAGAACAUGUGUAGCAUUAUUGUUGACGAAACUUAGAUGUGGUUUAAGUAAUCAACUACUUGGAACCUUAUUUGGCAUGAAAAAAUGGCAGGUUCGACGUGCUGUUAUAUCUGCGAAAAAUGCUUUGAUGGAAGAUUUUGUGCCAAAGCAUUUGGGGUUCUCUCACAUAUCAAGGGAGGAU